rnacentral:misc_RNA from 1 species
AACGCAUAUUGCGCUCUCCGGCAUUCCGGAGAGCAUGCCUGUUUGAGUCUUGGUACCAAUCUGGUGUAACCUUUGUAUUAAGAAUAGAACUUUUUAUAAAAAACUGCAUUGAGACGUCUUGAUAAGUAAAAUUGUUAAGUGUCUUAAAAUACAAUAGUACAGCUAUAGCUCACCCUCUUUGGAGUAAUAUGUGACCUGAAAGGGUAACUCUAUUUCUCCUCGUUGGGAAGACUUGUUGCUGGAAGUUUUUGAUUGCUGAACGUCAAAGGCGGCAUUCAAUUGUUCGAGUAACGACGAACUUAAAAAUUCAAGCUCAAAUCAGGUAGGAUUACCCGCUGAACUUAA